rnacentral:rRNA from 1 species
AUUGAACGCUGGCGGCAUGCUUUACACAUGCAAGUCGAACGGUAACAGGCCUUCGGGUGCUGACGAGUGGCGAACGGGUGAGUAAUGCAUCGGAACGUACCCAGAGGUGGGGGAUAACGCAGCGAAAGCUGUGCUAAUACCGCAUGUGAUCUGAGGAUGAAAGCGGGGGACCGAGCAGCAAUGUUUGGCCUCGCGCCUUUGGAGCGGCCGAUGUCGGAUUAGCUAGUUGGUGGGGUAAAGGCCUACCAAGGCGACGAUCCGUAGCUGGUCUGAGAGAACGACCAGCCACACUGGGACUGAGACACGGCCCAGACUCCUACGGGAGGCAGCAGUGGGGAAUUUUGGACAAUGGGCGCAAGCCUGAUCCAGCAAUGCCGCGUGCGGGAAGAAGGCCUUCGGGUUGUAAACCGCUUUUGGCAGGAACGAAACGGUGUCCGCUAAUACCGGGCGCUAAUGACGGUACCUGCAGAAUAAGCACCGGCUAACUACGUG